CGUUCCCGGGCCUUGUACACACCGCCCGUCAAGUCACGAAAGUCGGUAACACCCGAAGCCGGUGGCCCAACUCGCAAGAGGGGGAGCCGUCGAAGGUGGGAACUGGCGAUUGGGACU
rnacentral:rRNA from 1 species